rnacentral:tRNA from 1 species
UAACUAAAGAGGUGCCAAAAUUAAGCUUCUAACUUAAACACCAAGCAAAAUAUUGUUUACACCUUU